GAUGAACGCUGGCGGCGUGCCUAAUACAUGCAAGUCGAGCGAACGGACGAGAAGCUUGCUUCUCUGAUGUUAGCGGCGGACGGGUGAGUAACACGUGGAUAACCUACCUAUAAGACUGGGAUAACUUCGGGAAACCGGAGCUAAUACCGGAUAAUAUUUUGAACCGCAUUGUUCAAAAGUAAAAGACGGUCUUGCUGUCACUUAUAGAUGGAUCCGCGCUGCAUUAGCUAGUUGGUAAGGUAACGGCUUACCAAGGCAACGAUGCAUAGCCGACCUGAGAGCGUGAUCGGCCACACUGGAACUGAGACACGGUCCAGACUCCUACGGGAGGCAGCAGUAGGGAAUCUUCCGCAAUGGGCGAAAGCCUGACGGAGCAACGCCGCGUGAGUGAUGAAGGUCUUCGGAUCGUAAAACUCUGUUAUUAGGGAAGAACAUAUGUGUAAGUAACUGUGCACAUCUUGACGGUACCUAAUCAGAAAGCCACGGCUAACUACGUG
rnacentral:rRNA from 1 species